rnacentral:rRNA from 1 species
UACGGAGGGUGCAAGCGUUAUCCGGAUUCACUGGGUUUAAAGGGUGCGUAGGCGGAUAGGUAAGUCCGUGGUGAAAUCCUGCAGCUUAACUGCAGAACUGCCAUGGAUACUAUCUAUCUUGAAUGUCGUGGAGGUUAGCGGAAUAUGUCAUGUAGCGGUGAAAUGCUUAGAUAUGACAUAGAACACCAAUUGCGAAGGCAGCUGGCUACACGAAUAUUGACACUGAUGCACGAAAGCGUGGGGAUCAAACAGG